rnacentral:rRNA from 2 species
GGUUAAGUUAGAAAGGGCGCACGGUGGAUGCCUUGACACUAGGAGUCGAUGAAGGACGGGACUAACGCCGAUAUGCUUCGGGGAGCUGUAAGUAAGCUUUGAUCCGAAGAUUUCCGAAUGGGGAAACCCACCAUACGUAAUGGUAUGGUAUCCUUAUCUGAAUACAUAGGGUAAGGAAGACAGACCCAGGGAACUGAAACAUCUAAGUACCUGGAGGAAGAGAAAGCAAAUGCGAUUUCCUGAGUAGCGGCGAGCGAAACGGAACAUAGCCCAAACCAAGAGGCUUGCCUCUUGGGGUUGUAGGACAUUCUAUACGGAGUUACAAAGGAACGAGGUAGACGAAGCGACCUGGAAAGGUCCGUCGUAGAGGGUAACAACCCCGUAGUCGAAACUUCGUUCUCUCUUGAAUGUAUCCUGAGUACGGCGGAACACGUGAAAUUCCGUCGGAAUCUGGGAGGACCAUCUCCCAAGGCUAAAUACUCCCUAGUGAUCGAUAGUGAACCAGUACCGUGAGGGAAAGGUGAAAAGCACCCCGGAAGGGGAGUGAAAGAGAUCCUGAAACCGUGUGCCUACAAAUAGUCAGAGCCCGUUAAUGGGUGAUGGCGUGCCUUUUGUAGAAUGAACCGGCGAGUUACGAUCCCGUGCGAGGUUAAGCUGAAGAGGCGGAGCCGCAGCGAAAGCGAGUCUGAAUAGGGCGUUUAGUACGUGGUCGUAGACCCGAAACCAGGUGAUCUACCCAUGUCCAGGGUGAAGUUCAGGUAACACUGAAUGGAGGCCCGAACCCACGCACGUUGAAAAGUGCGGGGAUGAGGUGUGGGUAGCGGAGAAAUUCCAAUCGAACCUGGAGAUAGCUGGUUCUCCCCGAAAUAGCUUUAGGGCUAGCCUUAAGUGUAAGAGUCUUGGAGGUAGAGCACUGAUUGGACUAGGGGUCCUCAUCGGAUUACCGAAUUCAGUCAAACUCCGAAUGCCAAUGACUUAUCCUUAGGAGUCAGACUGCGAGUGAUAAGAUCCGUAGUCAAAAGGGAAACAGCCCAGACCGCCAGCUAAGGUCCCAAAGUGUGUAUUAAGUGGAAAAGGAUGUGGAGUUGCUUAGACAACUAGGAUGUUGGCUUAGAAGCAGCCACCAUUUAAAGAGUGCGUAAUAGCUCACUAGUCGAGUGACUCUGCGCCGAAAAUGUACCGGGGCUAAAUACACCACCGAAGCUGCGGAUUGAUACCAAUGGUAUCAGUGGUAGGGGAGCGUUCUAAGGACAGUGAAGUCAGACCGGAAGGACUGGUGGAGUGCUUAGAAGUGAGAAUGCCGGUAUGAGUAGCGAAAGACGGGUGAGAAUCCCGUCCACCGAAUGCCUAAGGUUUCCUGAGGAAGGCUCGUCCGCUCAGGGUUAGUCAGGACCUAAGCCGAGGCCGACAGGCGUAGGCGAUGGACAACAGGUUGAUAUUCCUGUACCACCUCUUUAUCGUUUGAGCAAUGGAGGGACGCAGAAGGAUAGAAGAAGCGUGCGAUUGGUUGUGCACGUCCAAGCAGUUAGGCUGAUAAGUAGGCAAAUCCGCUUAUCGUAAAGGCUGAGCUGUGAUGGGGAAGCUCCUUAUGGAGCGAAGUCUUUGAUUCCCCGCUGCCAAGAAAAGCUUCUAGCGAGAUAAAAGGUGCCUGUACCGCAAACCGACACAGGUAGGCGAGGAGAGAAUCCUAAGGUGUGCGAGAGAACUCUGGUUAAGGAACUCGGCAAAAUGACCCCGUAACUUCGGGAGAAGGGGUGCUUUCUUAACGGAAAGCCGCAGUGAAUAGGCCCAAGCGACUGUUUAGCAAAAACACAGCUCUCUGCGAAGCCGUAAGGCGAAGUAUAGGGGGUGACACCUGCCCGGUGCUGGAAGGUUAAGGAGAGGGGUUAGCGUAAGCGAAGCUCUGAACUGAAGCCCCAGUAAACGGCGGCCGUAACUAUAACGGUCCUAAGGUAGCGAAAUUCCUUGUCGGGUAAGUUCCGACCCGCACGAAAGGUGUAACGAUUUGGGCACUGUCUCAACCAGAGACUCGGUGAAAUUAUAGUACCUGUGAAGAUGCAGGUUACCCGCGACAGGACGGAAAGACCCCGUGGAGCUUUACUGUAGCCUGAUAUUGAAUUUUGGUACAGUUUGUACAGGAUAGGCGGGAGCCUUUGAAACCGGAGCGCUAGCUUCGGUGGAGGCGCUGGUGGGAUACCGCCCUGACUGUAUUGAAAUUCUAACCUACGGGUCUUAUCGACCCGGGAGACAGUGUCAGGUGGGCAGUUUGACUGGGGCGGUCGCCUCCUAAAGUGUAACGGAGGCGCCCAAAGGUUCCCUCAGAAUGGUUGGAAAUCAUUCGUAGAGUGCAAAGGCAUAAGGGAGCUUGACUGCGAGACCUACAAGUCGAGCAGGGACGAAAGUCGGGCUUAGUGAUCCGGUGGUUCCGCAUGGAAGGGCCAUCGCUCAACGGAUAAAAGCUACCCCGGGGAUAACAGGCUUAUCUCCCCCAAGAGUCCACAUCGACGGGGAGGUUUGGCACCUCGAUGUCGGCUCAUCGCAUCCUGGGGCUGUAGUCGGUCCCAAGGGUUGGGCUGUUCGCCCAUUAAAGCGGUACGCGAGCUGGGUUCAGAACGUCGUGAGACAGUUCGGUCCCUAUCCGUCGUGGGCGUAGGAAAUUUGAGAGGAGCUGUCCUUAGUACGAGAGGACCGGGAUGGACGCACCGCUGGUGUACCAGUUGUUCUGCCAAGGGCAUAGCUGGGUAGCUAUGUGCGGAAGGGAUAAGUGCUGAAAGCAUCUAAGCAUGAAGCCCCCCUCAAGAUGAGAUUUCCCAUAGCGUAAGCUAGUAAGAUCCCUGAAAGAUGAUCAGGUUGAUAGGUUCGAGGUGGAAGCAUGGUGACAUGUGGAGCUGACGAAUACUAAUAGAUCGAGGACUUAACCAU